UACAGAGGGUGCGAGCGUUAAUCGGAAUUACUGGGCGUAAAGCGUGCGUAGACGGUUAUUUAAGUCGGAUGUGAAAGCCCCGGGCUCAACCUGGGAAUGGCAUUCGAGACUGAAUAGCUAGGGUACGGUAGAGGGAAGUGGAAUUUCCGGUGUAGCGGUGAAAUGCGUAGAUAUCGGAAGGAACAUCAGUGGCGAAAGCGACUUCCUGGACCAGUACCGACGUUCAGGCACGAAAGCGUGGGGAGCAAACAGG
rnacentral:rRNA from 1 species